UCAACCAUGGUUGAAGGCGAAGAGAGUGAUCUAGGCGCCACUAUCUCCUUCUCCACCCAUCAUUUCUUUCAGAUAUGGUAGACGCGCAGACACGACGAGGGGCUCAUAGCUUCUUGAUUCAUCCAUCGCCCAAGAUAAGACCCAAAGCAAACGCCCAUCUCCAAAACCCUCAAGCUUUCACCCUCCAAAAAUGGCUUCCCUCGCUCACCCAACCCCCUCUCUCCCUUCUCUUCUCCCAUCUCUAUCUCCUAAAACCCCUUCUGCUAUCAAACUCCCAUUCCCUUCAAGAUCCUCUCCUUCCCAGUUUCUUGGAGCCCAGAUUUCUCAUCACAUUUCCCCUUCCUCUGUUCCUUCUUCUUCUUCCUUCAAAUUUACUGUCUCUUCUAAGGUGAGUAAAGGCCAAGCCCCACCUGCUUUCAAUUUGAAAGAUCAGGAUGGACGGAAUGUGAGCUUGUCUAAAUUUAAAGGGAAGCCUGUGGUGGUGUAUUUCUAUCCUGCUGAUGAAACUCCUGGUUGCACCAAACAGGCGUGUGCUUUCAGAGAUUCUUACGAGAAGUUCAAGAAAGCAGGAGCUCAGGUUGUAGGCAUUAGUGGCGAUGAUUCAUCAUCACACAAGGCUUUUGCAAAGAAAUAUAGACUUCCAUUCACAUUGCUAAGUGAUGAAGGUAACAAAGUGAGAAAAGAAUGGGGAGUUCCUUCUGAUCUCUUUGGUGCAUUACCUGGUAGACAGACUUAUGUUCUCGACAAGAACGGCAUCGUGCAGCUCGUUUAUAAUAACCAGUUCCAACCCGAGAAGCAUAUCGACGAGACGCUCAAAUUACUUCAGACCCUUUAAAUCUCUCUUGUUUAUAGCUAGGAUGUUUGUUUGUUCGUAUCGUUCGAGAGGCAAUUAUUUGAUUCUGAAUCGCUAAUAUGAGCGAAGAAUGAUGAUCGUUCUUGUUUUUGGUUUACUACUCGAAAGUGAAAUUAUGUAUAUUUGGAUCAUAAUGCAUUCUACUUUAAUAUGCUUUAGAUCAAAUUGUAGGAUUGUAUGAA